rnacentral:lncRNA from 1 species
CCUCAUCUUGCUUACCUCUCCAUGAAAGGUCAAAAGUGCCUCCUACUGUGAUAUGUCUGAAAUCCCUGAAAGAUUGAUUAAAUUUCUAUAUAGUAUGGAACUGCUGAAUCUAGUGAACCAUAACUUAUGUAAUUUGUAUUAUACUUUAUCAGUCACCUUUUAAAAAGUGUUUAACAGUGAAACUUUCCCUUGUGAGCAAUGGAAACCUGAGAAAUACUUGCUUUCUUUAUGAUAACCUUAGCAGUUUGUUUGGUUCAUUAAGUCAAGGUUGUUGUGGAUUUCUUAAAGGUAUUCAACUAUAAAAACUGACUUAAUUUUGGCAUUUAAAUUUUAGAAUGAAAAGUCAGAGAAUAAAGAAGAUCUUAUAUUGCAUGAGAAGCAUAAUCUCUUCAUAUAUUAUGAAAGAGUGGCAAAGAGAUGUCCUUGGCGUGUACACCCUGUGGAAUCUGGUUCAUCUCCAAUCUGUCAGAAGGCAUCAGAGGUGGUUUUGACUCCUUAUGUCUUGGACCUGUGUACAAAAAGUACGGGCAGGAGAGGAUGCAGGAGACUGUACAAAGUUCAAGAAACGAUAUGCUUUAAUCAAGAGGAAGAAGACUGAGAAUCUUUCUGCCAUGAUAUUUCUCAAAGUGUGCCAAAUGGAUUACUACCUGCUUUAUUCAUCUAUAAGAGGACUCUAUUCUGAUAACUUUGGCAUAGUUCUAUAAAAAGGAAAACUACCUGUUUAGACUUGCUUGGAAGUUGUCUAGUAAUUACCAAUUCAAAUGUAAUGGG